AUUGAACGCUGGCGGCAGGCCUAACACAUGCAAGUCGAGCGGCAGCGGGAAAGUAGCUUGCUACUUUUGCCGGCGAGCGGCGGACGGGUGAGUAAUGCCUGGGAAAUUGCCCAGUCGAGGGGGAUAACAGUCGGAAACGACUGCUAAUACCGCAUACGCCCUACGGGGGAAAGCAGGGGACCUUCGGGCCUUGCGCGAUUGGAUCUGCCCAGGUGGGAUUAGCUAGUUGGUGAGGUAAUGGCCCACCAAGGCGACGAUCCCUAGCUGGUCUGGGAGGAUGAUCAGCCACACUGGAACUGAGACACGGUCCAGACUCCUACGGGAGGCAGCAGUGGGGAAUAUUGCACAAUGGGGGAAACCCUGAUGCAGCCAUGCCGCGUGUGUGAAGAAGGCCUUCGGGUUGUAAAGCACUUUCAGCGAGGAGGAAAGGUUGAUGCCUAAUACGUAUCAACUGUGACGUUACUCGCAGAAGAAGCACCGGCUAACUCCGUGCCAGCCGCCGCCGUAACAC
rnacentral:rRNA from 1 species